rnacentral:rRNA from 1 species
UACGUAGGGUGCGAGCGUUGUCCGGAAUUAUUGGGCGUAAAGAGCUUGUAGGCGGUUUUGUCGCGUCUGCCGUGAAAAAUUCGAGGCUCAACCUCGAACUUGCGGUGGGUACGGGCAGACUAGAGUGUGGUAGGGGGAGACUGGAAUUCCUGGUGUAGCGGUGAAAAUGCGCAGAUAUCAGGAGGAACACCGAUGGCGAAGGCAGGUCUCUGGGCCACUACUGACGCUGAGAAGCGAAAGCAUGGGGAGCGAACAGG